rnacentral:rRNA from 1 species
AGCGAACGCUGGCGGCAGGCUUAACACAUGCAAGUCGAGCGGGCAUCUUCGGAUGUCAGCGGCAGACGGGUGAGUAACACGUGGGAACGUACCCUUCGGUUCGGAACAACUCUGGGAAACUGGAGCUAAUACCGGAUACGCCCUUAUGGGGAAAGGUUUACUGCCGAAGGAUCGGCCCGCGUCUGAUUAGCUAGUUGGUGGGGUAACGGCCUACCAAGGCGACGAUCAGUAGCUGGUCUGAGAGGAUGAUCAGCCACACUGGGACUGAGACACGGCCCAGGCCCCCACCGGGAGCAGGCGGGGGGAAUGAUGGAAAAUGGGGCGAAGGCUGGUACCUCCCUGGCGGGGGGAGUAAGAAGGGCUUAGGGGUGGAAAAGCUCUUUUGUCGGGGACGAUAAGGCGGGGCCCGAAAGAAAAACCCCGGCCUAAUUGCGG